UACGGGGGGAGCAAGCGUUGUUCGGAUUUACUGGGCGUAAAGGGCGCGUAGGCGGCUCUGAUCGUCGGAUGUGAAAGGCCUGGGCUCAACCUGGGAAUGGCAUCCGAUACGGCGGGGCUGGAGUGUGGGAGAGGUUGGUGGAAUUCCCAGUGUAGAGGUGAAAUUCGUAGAUAUUGGGAAGAACACCGGUGGCGAAGGCGGAUCUCUGGGCCAUAACUGACGCUGAGGAGCGAAAGCAUGGGGAGCGAACAGG
rnacentral:rRNA from 1 species